CCUACGGGAGACAGCAGUGAGGAAUAUUGGUCAAUGGACGAGAGUCUGAACCAGCCAAGUCGCGUGAAGGAUGACUGCCCUAUGGGUUGUAAACUUCUUUUGUAAGGGAAUAAAACGAGGCACGUGUGCCUUUUUGCGUGUACUUUAUGAAUAAGGAUCGGCUAACUCCGUGCCAGCAGCCGCGGUAAUACGGAGGAUCCGAGCGUUAUCCGGAUUUAUUGGGGUUAAAGGGAGCGUAGAUGGGUUGUUAAGUCAGUUGUGAAAUUUUGCGGCUCAACCGUAAAAUUGCAAUUGAUACUGGCAGUCUUGAGUACAGGUGAGGUAGGCGGAAUUCGUGGUGUAGCGGUGAAAUGCUUAGAUAUCACGAAGAACCCCGAUUGCGAAGGCAGCUUACUAAACUGUGACUGACAUUGAUGCUCGAAAGUGUGGGUAUCAAACAGGAUUAGAUACCCUUGUAGUC
rnacentral:rRNA from 1 species